rnacentral:rRNA from 1 species
GGAAUAUUGGACAAUGGGGGGAACCCUGAUCCAGCCAUGCCGCGUGUGUGAAGAAGGCCUUUUGGUUGUAAAGCACUUUAAGCGAGGAGGAGGCUCCUAUAGAUAAUACCUAUAGAGAGUGGACGUUACUCGCAGAAUAAGCACCGGCUAACUCUGUGCCAGCAGCCGCGGUAAUACAGAGGGUGCAAGCGUUAAUCGGAUUUACUGGGCGUAAAGCGUACGUAGGUGGUCUUUUAAGUCGGAUGUGAAAUCCCUGAGCUUAACUUAGGAAUUGCAUUCGAUACUGGGAGACUAGAGUAUGGGAGAGGAUGGUAGAAUUCCAGGUGUAGCGGUGAAAUGCGUAGAGAUCUGGAGGAAUACCGAUGGCGAAGGCAGCCAUCUGGCCUAAUACUGACACUGAGGCACGAAAGCAUGGGGAGCAAACAGGAUUAGAUACCCUGG